rnacentral:lncRNA from 1 species
UUUUUUUUUUUUUUUGUAAGUGUUUAUACUUCAGAUAAAUGAAGGGUCUAUAUUUGUUGGUCGCUCAUUUAAGUAAUAUCUGUCAUAUUUUUUGAAAUGAAUAUCCAUUAUUAAACAACUUUUAAGUUAAAGAAUAUACUUCUUUUUUGCAUAGUCAACUUCUGCAUUCAAACACAUGCAUAUAACUGAGAUUUUGGUUAAUUUUAACAUGUGUUUCAGUUAUGUAAAAGCAGAUAUAAGUUUGAAUAAAUGAAAAAGUUGAUAAAUAAGUUUGUUAGAUUUGUUGCUAUGUUGACGAAUUGAUGAUGGAUAUUUAUUUUUUAUGAUAUGAAAUUUGUGUUUCAAUUUUGAAUUUAUUUGAAAUAGAUAUGGAUAUUUAAAUUUGAAAACUAAAAUUAUUAUUUUUUGAAAAUAACUUCAGGACUCACGUCUGAAAUUUCAGACCAUUUUCAUAUGUAGUUUAGUCAUAUACAUACAACUAAAAUGAAAAGUGCACAAAUCCCCACUUUUGAUGUAGCCAUCCAAUUAAUAACUGCUUCAUAGUAUUUUUGGGAAGUUUACCCGCUUUGGGUGGGUGAGAAGUCAAUAAUUGCAUCUGAAGCUCAAUAACUUCAGACGCUCGCAUUUAAAAGUGUAGCCCUAUGAUGGUUAAACAUAAAAAUUUUUUUGCCUGAUAUUUAGUAUGACUUGCAACGAUAAAAUCUAGACAUUUUUGACUGAGAUGCAUGCCACUUUCUCGGUAAAUAAACUUAUUUAUAACCAAAGUGGAUUCAUAGCUCAAAGGAAAAAAACAUAAAUUAGCAGUUCUACUGAACCUAGACAUAGUUUCAAGCUCCAGUAUCUACACUAUUAAAGGUCAAUCUAAUGCAUUAAAACUUUCGUUAUGCGCAGGAUUUGGAGAAGAGUCCCACCACAAAAAUAUAUUGUACACAAUCUUAUCUUGCAUUUAUGUUAGAGGCUAUUUUCAAGGUUAACAUAUGAAGCCGCAUAAGAAAUAGAUACUAUACAAUCACAAAAUCCCAAAAGAAACAAUCUUUAACUUCCAAUCAUUCAGACACUAACUAAUAAUGAGAAUAAAGCACCAAAUACACAAAAUAUCUGCAUUACAUAUACUCCAACGGAUUCAUGCUUCUGAUACCAACUAAUAACACCUUCCAGACCAAGAGAGAUACUAACAAGAAACAGCCUGCAGACAUACCAGUUCCUGUCCUGUAGCCCGACAAACAUGAAUACCCAGAGCAUAGAGCAUGGAGUUCUAGAGAGUAAAAUCCAUAGCAUCCAACAAAUACAAUAGCCGGUAAGUAAAUGAUGAACCUGCAGGAUGAUUCCGGUAUAAUCUCAAAGUUAAAAACUUAGGCCAUUUCUCAGUUUGUGGACACCCUAAUACAAGGCCUAAUGGCUUAAGUUAAUCUUCGUUGUGCCGCUCAAGAGAAACCAAGUUAUACAAAAUUUCAAAAGAAGAACAAGAAUCAAGCUAAUUUAUCAGUUGGUCAAAACUGCAUCGCCAUACUUGGUAGGGCUCAAUAUAAACUUGUUAAAAAGGCAAUUAGACCUCAGGCAGUAGAGAUGACAAUGUAAGUCACAUCACUGGAUGAAUUUGACACCACAUUGAUAACCACUUCACCAGGAAAAAAAACAACUACAACUACACAACAAGGGGCUAAUCCUAAUAAACUUCCGCAAUAGACACAUCGAUUAAAUCAAAACCAAAAACCCCAAAUACUAGGUCAACAAUCAAAGUGUAGCAGUGGAGAGCAAAUUUGCUCCAAAUUGAAGUGCAAACUUGAGAGUUGAAAUCGAAGUGGUUGUCGGAGCAAUGGAGAAGCUGAUUUGUGGUCGGAGCAUGCACUGGUGGUCGAUUUUGUGGUCGGAGCACUUGGUCGGUUAUGGUCGGAGCGUAGUACCGAUGGCGAUUGUGGUAGGAGCAUAGUAACCGAUGGCGAUUGUGGUAAGACCGUAGUGCUGAUGGCGAUAGUGGUAAGACCCUAGUACCGGUGGCGCGAUUGUGGUAAGACCGUAGUACCAGGGGUGAUUUUCACGAGAACCACUGGUGGCGGCUAGAGAUACUUUUGCAAUGGCUAAGAGCCACCGAAAUUUCCUUAUAAAUUUAUUUAAUUUUUUUCUUAUAUAUUUAUUUAAUUUUUAUUAGAUAUUCUUUUAGUUUUUGGCAGUAAUAUGAGAGAGUAAAAAAUUGGGAAGGGAAUAAAUAAUACAACUGAUGCAAUAGUUUUUUUUUUGUCAAUAAAAGUGUUGUCAUAGGUGCUUUUAUGACAACUGUUCAAGAAAUCGUUACUAUAAGGCACCCUAUUGCAACAGUUAUAGCACAAAAUAAUUCUAGUAGAAUAAUUUUUUUUUGCAAUGGUUCAAUAAAUGUUCUAUAGCAACACUUUUGAAAUCAUUGUUAAUAAAUUCAUUGCAAUAGGGGUAAUUUCUAAUAGAUCCAUGACACUUAGAUUACAUUUAGUCUCCCACACAAACUCCAUGCAUCCAUAGUAUGAAUGCACUGGCCAUGACACUUAUCAUCUUUCUUCUUGCAUAAAUUUUAAAAUUACUUGCAUAUUGCUGCUUUUGAUUAGAGUAGUUAAUUGGGAUGAGAGGUGCAGGUCCAUUUCAUGCUAAAAAUGUCUUCAUGGGCUGCCAGGAUGGAAAAACUGUUAAGAUAAAAUGUCAAAAAUCAAGAUUUUUUAGUUGGUAGAAAUGGGUCAUUAAAUGUGUUCACUGUGAACACUUAGAAAUAUUGUCUUUCAGUGAUGUUAUUACUGACAUCGAUAGGGAUAGGUUUUUCC